rnacentral:tRNA from 1 species
GGAGAGGUGCUCGAGUGGUUGAAGAGGCACGCCUGGAAAGUGUGUAACCGUUAAUAGCGGUUCGUGGGUUCGAAUCCCACCUUCUCCGCAA